rnacentral:rRNA from 1 species
CCCUUAGAUGUUCUGGGCCGCACGCGCGCUACGCUGAUGCAUUCAACGAGCCUAUCCUUGACCGACAGGUCCGGGUAAUCUUUGAAUCUGCAUCGUGACGGGGAUAGAUUAUUGCAAUUAUUAAUCUUCAACGAGGAAUUCCCAGUAAGUGCGAGUCAUCAGCUCGCGUUGAUUACGUCCCUGCCCUUUGUACACACCGCCCAUCGCUACUACCGAUUGGGAAAAUUUUAGAGAGUCCUGGACUGAUGAUUGUUCGGCUUCACGGCCUUACUUUCGUCGGGAAAGAAUUCGAUAAUAUUUUUCUAGAGGAAGUAAAAGUCGUAACA